rnacentral:rRNA from 1 species
UAAUACGUAGGGGGCAAGCGUUGUCCGGAUUUACUGGGUGUAAAGGGCGCGUAGGCUGGUUUGUUAGUCAGAGGUGAAAUCCUGCAGCUCAACUGUAGAAUUGCCUUUGAUACUGCAAGCCUUGAGUGCGGAAGAGAGAGACGGAAUUCCAGGUGUAGUAGUGAAAUACGUAGAUAUCUGGAAGAACACCAGAGGCGAAGGCGGUCUCUUGGUCCGUUACUGACGCUGAUGCGCGAAAGCGUGGGGAGCAAACAGG